rnacentral:rRNA from 1 species
GACGAACGCUGGCGGCGUGCUUAGCACAUGCAAGUCGAACGAAGAGCGAUGGAAGCUUGCUUCUAUCAAUCUUAGUGGCGACCGGGUGAGUAACGCGUAAUCAACCUGCCCUUCAGAGGGGGACAACAGUUGGAAACGACUGCUAAUACCGCAUACGAUCUAAUCUCGGCAUCGAGGAUAGAUGAAAGGUGGCCUCUACAUGUAAGCUAUCACUGAAGGAGGGGAUUGCGUCUGAUUAGCUAGUUGGAGGGGUAACGGCCCACCAAGGCGAUGAUCGGUAGCCGGUCUGAGAGGAUGAACGGCCACAUUGGGACUGAGACACGGCCCAGACUCCUACGGGAGGCAGCAGUGGGGAAUCUUCCGCAAUGGACGAAAGUCUGACGGAGCAACGCCGCGUGAGUGAUGACGGCCUUCGGGUUGUAAAGCUCUGUUAAUCGGGACGAAAGGCCUUCUUGCGAAUAGUGAGAAGGAUUGACGGUACCGGAAUAGAAAGCCACGGCUAACUACGUG